CAGCAGCCGCGGGAAUACGAAGGGGGCUAGCGUUGUUCGGAAUUACUGGGCGUAAAGCGCACGUAGGCGGAUAUUUAAGUCAGGGGUGAAAUCCCGCAGCUCAACUGCGGAACUGCCUUUGAUACUGGGUAUCUUGAGUAUGGAAGAGGUUAGUGGAAUUGCGAGUGUAGAGGUGAAAUUCGUAGAUAUUCGCAGGAACACCAGUGGCGAAGGCGGCUAACUGGUCCAUAACUGACGCUGAGGUGCGAAAGCGUGGGGAGCAAACAGGAUUAGAGACCCCUGUAGUCCCUGUCUUUAUACA
rnacentral:rRNA from 1 species